GCCCUUAGCUCUGUGGUAGAGCACCUGCUUUGCAUGCAGAAGGCCCCAGGUUCAAUCCAUAAUGGCAUCUCCA